rnacentral:rRNA from 1 species
AGAGUUUGAUCAUGGCUCAGGACGAACGCUGGCGGCGUGCUUAACACAUGCAAGUCGAGCGGAAAGGCCCCUUCGGGGGUACUCGAGCGGCGAACGGGUGAGUAACACGUGAGUAACCUGCCCUCGACUCUGGGAUAAGCCUGGGAAACUGGGUCUAAUACCGGAUAUUCACCUCCUGUCGCAUGGUGGGGGGUGGAAAGUUCCCUCUUUUUGGGGGUUCGGUCGGGGAUGGGCUCGCGGCCUAUCAGCUUGUUGGUGGGGUGACGGCCUACCAAGGCGACGACGGGUAGCCGGCCUGAGAGGGCGACCGGCCACACUGGGACUGAGACACGGCCCAGACUCCUACGGGAGGCAGCAGUGGGGAAUCUUGCGCAAUGGGCGAAAGCCUGACGCAGCGACGCCGCGUGGGGGAUGAAGGCCUUCGGGUUGUAAACCCCUUUCAGCACCAACGAAUGAAGGACGGUAGGUGCAGAAGAAGCGCCGGCUAACUACGUGCCAGCAGCCGCGGUAAUACGUAGGGCGCGAGCGUUGUCCGGAAUUAUUGGGCGUAAAGAGCUCGUAGGCGGCUUGUCGCGUCUGUCGUAAAAGCCCACGGCUUAACCGUGGGUUUGCGGUGGAUACGGGCAGGCUAGAGGCAGGUAGGGGAGCAUGGAAUUCCCGGUGUAGCGGUGAAAUGCGCAGAUAUCGGGAGGAACACCGGUGGCGAAGGCGGUGCUCUGGGCCUGUUCUGACGCUGAGGAGCGAAAGCGUGGGGAGCGAACAGGAUUAGAUACCCUGGUAGUCCACGCCGUAAACGUUGGGCGCUAGGUGUGGGGUUCUUCCACGGAUUCCGCGCCGUAGCUAACGCAUUAAGCGCCCCGCCUGGGGAGUACGGCCGCAAGGCUAAAACUCAAAGGAAU